UCCAAGCUGCCCGAGAUGGGCAGGGCUCUGAGGCCCCAGGAGAAGGGUGGGCCGGGCCCCCAGUGUCCUCAUCGUGUUUGACUGCUCCAUGGAGACGAUGCUC
rnacentral:sRNA from 1 species